AACGAACGUUAGCGGCGCGCCUAACACAUGCAAGUCGAGCGAGAAAGGGCUUCGGCCCCGGUAAAGCGGCGCACGGGUGAGUAACACGUGGAUAACCUACCCCUUGGUGGUGGAUAACCUUCCGAAAGGAGGGCUAAUACAGCGUAAGACCACGACUUCGAAAGAGGUUGGGGUAAAAGUGGGCCUCUGUACACAACGCUCACGCCAGGGGAUGGGUCCGCGGCCCAUCAGCUAGUUGGUAGGGUAACGGCCUACCAAGGCGAAGACGGUAGCUGGUCUGAGAGGAUGAUCAGCCACACUGGAACUGAGACACGGUCCAGACUCCUACGGGAGGCAGCAGUGGGGAAUCUUGCGCAAUGGACGAAAGUCUGACGCAGCGACGCCGCGUGAGUGAUGAA
rnacentral:rRNA from 1 species